rnacentral:rRNA from 1 species
UACGGGGGGAGCAAGCGUUGUUCGGAUUUACUGGGCGUAAAGGGCGCGUAGGCGGUCAGCACAAGUCAGUUGUGAAAUCUCCGGGCUUAACUCGGAAAGGUCAACUGAUACUGUGCGACUAGAGUGCAGAAGGGGCAACUGGAAUUCUCGGUGUAGCGGUGAAAUGCGUAGAUAUCGUAAGGAAGACCAGUGGCGAAGGCGGGUCUCUGGACAGUUCCUGACGCUGAGGCACGAAGGUCAGGGGAGCAAACGGG